GACCCCAUCGUCUAGCGGUUAGGACAUCGGCCUUUCACGCCGAAAACGGGGGUUCGAUUCCCCCUGGGGUCACCA
rnacentral:tRNA from 1 species